rnacentral:rRNA from 1 species
UACGGAGGGUGCAAGCGUUGUCCGGAUUCAUUGGGUUUAAAGGGUGCGCAGGCGGGAAAUUAAGUCAGGGGUGAAAGACGGUUGCUCAACAAUCGCAGUGCCUUUGAUACUGGUUUUCUUGGGUGAAGUCGAGGCGGAUGGAAUUCAAGGUGUAGCGGUGAAAUGCGUAGAGAUCGGAAAGAACACCAAUGGCGAAAGCACUCUGCUGGGCCGACACUGACACUGAGAGACGAAAGCUAGGGGAGCGAAUGGG